GAUGAACGCUGGCGGCGUGCUUAACACAUGCAAGUCGAACGGAAAGGCCCAAGCUUGCUUGGGUACUCGAGUGGCGAACGGGUGAGUAACACGUGGGUGAUCUGCCCUGCACUUCGGGAUAAGCCUGGGAAACUGGGUCUAAUACCGGAUAGGACGAUGGUUUGGAUGCCAUUGUGGAAAGUUUUUUCGGUGUGGGAUGAGCUCGCGGCCUAUCAGCUUGUUGGUGGGGUAAUGGCCUACCAAGGCGUCGACGGGUAGCCGGCCUGAGAGGGUGUACGGCCACAUUGGGACUGAGAUACGGCCCAGACUCCUACGGGAGGCAGCAGUGGGGAAUAUUGGACAAUGGGCGCAAGCCUGAUGCAGCGACACCGCGUGGGGGAUGACGGCCUUCGGGUUGUAAACUCCUUUCGCUAGGGACGAAGCGUUUUUGUGACGGUACCUGGAGAAGAAGCACCGGCUAACUACGUG
rnacentral:rRNA from 1 species